rnacentral:tRNA from 1 species
GCCACCUUAGCUCAGCUGGUAGAGCGGAGCUUUCGUAAAGCUCAGGUCGCUGGUUCGAAUCCAGUAGGUGGCU